CCCGACUCGGCCACCAGCGUGUAACUGCUGUCCUCAGCUCGCCCUCGACCUCUGGCCUGCAGAGAGGAAAACAUCACAACAUCUCAGUGUUGUUGCAGCUGGUCGAGUCUGUGCUCCACCUCUCCAUAUGUGAUGUCACAGUCCAGGUCAUCAUCUUCUGUCCCACCCUGCUCCUGUGUACUUUUGUCCAUGUGCUGUUUGGGUCUUUCUGCUAACCAGUCAGGGGUUAAAGGUCAGCUCCAAAUUGGUUAGGAAAUGGUCGGCAAACUCCGGAUACAUGUCCAGUACCUCCAGCAGCUCUUCCCGUUGG